CACGUCAUGUACGUAUAGAGGCACUGCCAGACCAUUGACGUUCUGUGCGGAGGCCGCGAUAUCCUGACCGUGCAGAAGGUACCAUAAGCACAUGUUCACUCUAUAAGGACAUGUAUGAGUGGUCACACGAGGGUUUUGCUGUCUCUAACUUCGUAUGAAUGAAAGUGAGCUUCGCUGGUAUAAGCUGGAAUGCCCUGCUUUGA
rnacentral:rRNA from 1 species